GACGAACGCUGGCGGCGUGCCUAAUACAUGCAAGUAGAACGCAGUUGCGAACGGGUGAGUAACGCGUAGGUAACUGCCUCAUAGCGGGGGAUAACUAUUGGAAACGAUAGCUAAUACCGCAUACUGUGAGAUGGACCUGCGUUGUAUUAGCUAGUUGGUGGGGUAAAGGUCCACCAAGGCGACGAUACAUAGCCGGCCCGGGAGGGUGGUCGGCCACACUGGGACUGAGACAAGGCCCAGACUCCUACGGGAGGCAGCAGUAGGGGAUCUUCGGAAAUGGAGCGAAGUCUGGACGAGCAAAGCCGCGUGAGUGAAGAAGGUUUUCGGAUCGUAAAGCUCUGUUGUGAGAGGAGCGGUAACUACCCAGAAAGGGACGGCUAACUACGUGCCAGCCGCCGCGGUAAUAC
rnacentral:rRNA from 1 species